GGUACGUGGGGUGGCGGUGUGCGUGUGGAGGAGGGGGCGAAGGGUAUGGGUACAGGAGUUUGAGGAUAAAAGAGGUGGGGAGGAAUUUUGGGCGACAGUGAAGGAGUUUAUGU
rnacentral:ribozyme from 1 species